rnacentral:rRNA from 1 species
UAUGUGAUCGUCCUCUCGCAUAUCAAUAAGCGGAGGAAAAGAAACUAACAAGGAUUCCCCUAGUAACGGCGAGUGAAGCGGGAAGAGCUCAAAUUUGAAAUCUUAAAGGGUUUCCCUUUACGAAUUGUAGUUUAAAGAAGUGUUUUCUGUUGAGGUUUUGGUAAAAGUUCUUUGGAAUAGGACAUCAUAGAGGGUGAGAAUCCCGUAUUUGACCUUUACUUUCAACUUUGUGAUACACUUUCAAAGAGUCGGAUUGUUUGGGAAUGCAGUCCAAAAUGGGUGGUAAAUUUCAUCUAAAGCUAAAUAUUGGCGAGAGACCGAUAGCGAACAAGUACCGUGAGGGAAAGAUGAAAAGAACUUUGAAAAGAGAGUUAAACAGUACGUGAAAUUGUCAAAAGGGAGGCGUUUGACACCAGUGUUGUUUUUCUGAAAAUCAAUUAAAGAACUGUUUAUGCUAAGUUGUUUAGACUUUAUCAGCUAACUGUUUAGUUUUGAGCUUUUCUUUAAUGCACUUUUCAGUUAACAAGUCAACAUCAAUUUCUUUUGCUGUAAAAAAGCUUGAGGAAGGUGGCUUGAGAUUCGUCUUAAGUGUUUAUAGCCUCUUGCCUAUGCAGUCGGAGAGAUUGAGGUCUGCAGCGUAGAUCCUUCGGGGCUAAAUGCAUUUGUGCUAAGUUAUAACAUUUUAUAGACAACUUGUUGACUAUGAUUUGUCUUGUAGCUUACUCGCUUAUGUUAUUUUACCUACGCUUAGGAUGUUGAGUAGCGACAUACGCAC